GAUGAAGAACGCAGCAAAAUGCGAUAAGUAAUGUGAAUUGCAGAAUUCAGUGAAUCAUCGAAUCUUUGAACGCACAUUGCGCCCGCCAGUAUUCUGGCGGGCAUGCCUGUUCGAGCGUCAUUUCAACCAUCAAGCCCCCGGCUUGUGUUGGGGACCUGCGGCUGCCGCAGGCCCUGAAAACCAGUGGCGGGCUCGCUAGUCACUCCGAGCGUAGUAAUACAUCUCGCUCAGGGCGUGCUGCGGGUUCCGGCCGUUAAAAAGCCUUAUUUACCCAAGGUUGACCUCGGAUCAGGUAGGAAGACCCGCUGAACUUAAGCAUAUCAAUAAGCGGAGGA
rnacentral:misc_RNA from 1 species